rnacentral:rRNA from 1 species
AACGAACGCUGGCGGCGUGGAUAAGACAUGCAAGUCGAACGGGAUUGUCUUGGUAGCAAUAUUGAGGCAGUCUAGUGGCGAACGGGUGCGUAACACGUGAGAAUCAUCCUGGAAGUGGGGAAUAAUUCGCCGAAAGGCGGACUAAUACCGCAUGUGACCGCAAGGUCAAAGUGGAGGACCGCAAGGCUUCACGCUUCCAGACGAGCUCGCGGCCUAUCAGCUAGUUGGCGGGGUAACGGCCCACCAAGGCUUUGACGGGUAGCUGGUCUGAGAGGACGACCAGCCACACUGGGACUGAGACACGGCCCAGACACCUACGGGUGGCAGCAGUCGAGAAUCUUUCACAAUGGGGGCAACCCUGAUGGAGCGACGCCGCGUGGAGGAUGAAGGGAUUCGUCUUGUAAACUCCUGUCACUGCAGAACAAGGCUU